rnacentral:rRNA from 1 species
GAUGAACGCUGGCGGCGUGCCUAAUACAUGCAAGUCGAGCGAAGCGGGGACGGGUGAGUAACACGUGGAUAACCUCCUAUAAGACUGGGAUAACUUCGGGAAACCGGAGCUAAACCGGAAACUUAUAGAUGGAUCCGCGCUGCAUUAGCUAGUUGGUACGGUAACGGCUUACCAAGGCAACGAUGCAUAGCAGACCUGAGAGAGGGAUCGGCCACACUGGAACUGAGACACGGUCCAGACUCCUACGGGAGGCAGCAGUGGGGAAUCUUCCGCAAUGGGCGAAAGCCUGACGGAGCAACGCCGCGUGAGUGAAGAAGGUCUUCGGGUCGUAAAGCACUUUUAGUAGGGAAGCGUUACCUGAUCAGAAAGCCACGGCUAACUACGUGCCAGCAGCCGCGGUAAUAC